rnacentral:rRNA from 1 species
AACGAACGCUGGCGGCAUGCCUAACACAUGCAAGUCGAACGAGACCUUCGGGUCUAGUGGCGCACGGGUGCGUAACGCGUGGGGAUCUGCCCUUGGGUCCGGAAUAACUCGCCGAAAAGCGUGCUAAUACUGGAUGAUGUCGUAAGACCAAAGAUUUAUCGCCCAGGGAUGAGCCCGCGUAAGAUUAGGUAGUUGGUGAGGUAAAGGCUCACCAAGCCGACGAUCUUUAGCUGGUCUGAGAGGAUGAUCAGCCACACUGGGACUGAGACACGGCCCAG